AGGAUGAACGCUAGCGGCAGGCCUAACACAUGCAAGUCGUACGGUAACAGUCCUGCCUUCGGGCAGGAGCUGACGAGUGGCGCACGGGUGCGCAACGCGUAUAGAACCUACCCUGUACAGGGGGAUAGCCCAGGGAAACUUGGAUUAAUACCCCGUGGUGACUUUAUCCGGCAUCGGAUGAUGUUUAAAGUUCGGCGUACAGAUGGCUAUGCGUCCAUUAGUUAGUAGGUAAGGUACGGCUUACUAGGCUAUGAUGGGUACGGGCCCUAGGAGGACGGGGACUCCCCCCGACACGUGGGACUGAGACCACGGCCAGACC
rnacentral:rRNA from 1 species